UUUUUCCUCACUCUGGAAAAGGAACUAAUUGUGGUUUCCUAAUUUCAAGCCAAUCUCCAGUCUCAAUGCCCUCUUUGUGCAUGUGUGUUUUACCCAAUUACCAAAAAAGGGGGGAAAAAAGAGAAUGCACUGGGAAUUACUUAGUCCAGUAGAAAUGAAUUCACAAGGAAGGGGCUGGGAAUUUUUCCUCUCCUUUUAUCUGACCCGGAAUCAGCCCGUGCUGGCCAGAGCUGACUUUUGCCCCAGGCAUUUUGACUACCCCAUACCUUUCUUUCUUCAAUUCCAUCUUUCCAGAUUUUCAGCCAAGACCGACUUCGUUCAGUUGAUCGAUGAAGGACACAAGCCAGCCCACCGUGAGGUCAACACGAUCGAUGCGGACCUCCAGGACUGUCCGCUCUCGGAAACGGAGAAGUAGCGGUGCCUGGUCACGCCCAGAAGAUUUGGGGAUUUGGGCUUUCUCCAGCCGGGCUCUGGUUCCAGAACCAGAGAAAGGAUGGGGGUGGGGCGGGCGGGAAGACUCAAAAAGCCCCGUCAGGAGAGCUGGGGCUGGGAGAGCAGCUCUCUUGCACCGGAAAGGUGUGCAGGGCUGUUUCCUUACGAAGGAGAGAGGGCGUAGGAGCGCCAAGCUGGAUUUCGUUCUGGAAUGGCUCGCCUGGGAUUUGGACCGCGGGAUCGCUGCGUUUUGAGCCCUCUGUCCCUUGCCCGGACUAGAAUCCGAGAAAUGGGUUUGUUAGAGUAUUUCUGAAUCCCCAGGAGGACGACACUGUCUGCUCAUGGAGGACAGUGACCCAAGAGAUCAGGCAUCUUCUCCGUGACAGCCUUUUUUGUUUUUUCAGGGGACAAAACAAAGACAAAUAAUCUCAGAGACACAAAGGCAUUGCCCAGGGUCGCAUAGCUGGUUUCGUGGGGCAUCUAGGAUGCAAGCCCGGGGCCUGUCUACCUCAGCGGCUGGCCAUAGUACCAGGGCUGUGAAGGUCAGCAGGCACACAGGAGGUCCAACGAGGGACCUCCUGCUUUACGGCUUUGUCCUUUGGGGGGGGGGGGGGGGGAUUUUCCAUUUACCCCUUUCCCAUGCAGACCCCGAAACUGCUUGUUGUUUGGCCUCUUCCUGUCCAACAAAGGCAACUGGUGGGUGGUGGAGGUGUAAGUCCCACACAACCUUAUGGUGGUCUGCACUUCCAGCAGGUCUUUCAAGGCUUGUGUGUGCGUGUGCACGUGUGUGCGUGUGUCUGUUUGCGCGUGCAUGCGUGUGGGGUGUGUGUGUGUGGAAUUCAUUCGGCCCAGACGGACCUUCACAAAGCGGCUGCAGGCAGGCACCUCCACUGCCCAGCCAACACCCAGGCGCCCGCGGCGAAUUCAUUGAGCCCUGAAAGAUGGGGCCACGCAGCUUCCAGUUAAUUAGUGAAGAAAUGAAUCAAGCCCCAGCGGCCUGGCAAGGGAUCCUGGGGCGCGGGCAUUGUGCAAGCCAAAUUGGUCGGCGGGGCUCUCCUCUCCUGCCUGGCGAGGCGCGGCGGGAACGCAGCUCGUACGCCCUGCGCCUGCUCGGUCGCCCUGCGCGGUGCGCUCCCAGCCCCGCGCUCCCCUCCUCUGUCUCUCUCUUUCUCCCUUGACCUUGACCUUGACCUUGACCGUCGCCGACCUUUCUGGGUCUUUCCGGGUCUCUCCUCCUCCCUGGACUUUGUGGGAGUUUCCUGUCCUCCUGGAGGCCCCUCUCCAACCUCUUCUCCGAGGUGCCCGCUCAGCCCGGCAGGAUCUGGGGCAGCGAGGCGGGGGACCGCGGGCAUCCCAGGGCCCGGUGCAGAGAGGGGACUGAGCACCUGUGCGGGGGCCUGGAGACUGUGGUGUGCUCCGGGCGGGACCUCUCCAGCUCUCCAGCCUUGGGUGGCUUUGGAUAGAGCUCUUGGCUCAGUAAGGAGAGCCCCCCCCGCCACCAUGCAGCACGGUGCUGGGUGGACUCCGUACUCGGUAUCCUGUGUCUGCCCCAUGAGUUCCUAGAAUUAAGGAGACCCACAGCACAAAUCAUUAGGCGCCUGCUAUGUUCCCCCCUUACUGGCUUCCUGUUAACCCAGCCAGGGAAGAUACAAGUGGUUUUGUUAGCGGCAGCUCUCACGUUUGCUGCUUUUCCCCAAACUAUAGGUUUAGGGGGCCUGGGCCUCUACCAAGUGUUUAAGGACAGCACGAGGGUCCCGAAUCGCUCAGGCUGACUCAAUCUCUUUCUCACCUGCUGUCCCGGAUCUCUGCUCUCUUUCCGCGAAUGCAGGCGGAAUUCGGACUCCAAAGCUAACAUCAGAAUCGCCCCUUUCUUCCAGUUACCUGAGUAGCUGCACCCCUUCUGCGGUGAGGACCUCCACCUGCGGGGAGCCGAGUCUGAGCAGCCCUCAGAUGAUCCCUUGCCCUCUGCCCUGCUGACCCACACCCCUCCCCAAGCCGCAUUCCUGAGGUCCCAGCAGGGACCCCGGCAGAUGCCUGGGAGGAGAACGAAUGAGUUCCAAACAGCAGCCGCCAACCGAGUUUUGACCGACUUUGGCUUUGUCAGGGCCCAGCGGUGCCCUCGACGCGCUUGGCUUCACCUCCCUUUCGAAAGAGGCCGGGCGCUGUGGUUUCCGUUCACUGUAGCCCUGCCUCGUACACAGGGCAGGGCCCUAGUGAGCUUCCCAAGCUACAGCCAAGUGCUUUGAGCCUCAGUUUCCCCAUUGUUUUCAGAUUAGAGAAGCAGCAGAGAAACUAGCUGGGGAGGAGGGUCUGCCAAUGUGUUGCCUGGUAACGGGGCUGAAGUUUUGUGUGUCCAGGGGUCACACAACCCUGGCUGCCCGCUCAUCCGUCUCCUGGAGCAGAAGUCAGGAAGGGACCCUGAGAUGGGCUUGCUUCCCACACUAGCAGCGAUGCUUCAUGGCCCUGUCUUCCCCAAGGGGGACCACAGUGUGGUGGAGCUCAGUGGGUGGCCCCGCAGGUGAGGAUCUGCCAGGUGUCGGCCAGCAGGUGCAUUCAAGUGUGAGCAAAAGUGCCCUCAUGGGCCUUCUUUCCCCCGUGGUCAGUGCUAGUAAGGGUACAUUUGCACAGCAGUGAGUGGGCUGCAACCAAACACCCGGAACCUAGGAGAUGGCAUAUGACAGCCUUGGAACUUUGUUUUGUUACAGGGUCUCACUAUGUAGUCCGUGUUGGCCUCAGUCUCUAGGAAAUCCUCGUGCCUCAGCCUCUCUUUUGCUGGGAUCACAGGUGUGCCUGCACCACCAUGCUCAAUAGAGCCUAGAAACUUUGGGUAGACCCUUAACCUCUCUAAGCCUCAGUUGCUUUCUCUGAAAAAUGGCAUAACAAGGCCAGCCCUGGUGGCUCUUGCAGAAGGCAAUGAGGUCACGCAUGCGCCCGCUCAGCCCUCCCCCAGGGGGUGGGGCGUGCAGUAAGAGCUCAGGAAUCACUAGGCAUUUGGGCGUGGUCAACAGGCUCCAGUUUGGAUCUUUUCAGAUUUGGGAAUGUUUGCAUAAUGAGCUCUUCUAUCACGUCAUGUACACUUUAUACAGGUAGCCCGAGGGCCAGGGAUUUAGCUCAGUAAUUCCGGCGCCUCACAAGCACAAGGUCCCGAGUUCAAUCCCCGGUACCAAAAAAAAAAACAACACAUACACGUAGCCUGCAGGUAAUCAUAUACCACAUCUCUGUGCGCCUGCAGCUUCUGUGUUGACUGCGAG
ensembl:lncRNA